rnacentral:lncRNA from 1 species
UUCACCAUAUAAAAACGGUGAAAAACGGUAACGGUAGGCACCAAUACCUUUUUGUCGCGGCCUUUUUCGCGGUAACGGACCUUUAUUUAAAACCUUGAUCCUUUAUGUGAUUAGUGUUGUUUUGCAUCUUAGUUUCCAUGAGAAAGACAAUGUCAGGCUUGUGUUGAGCAAUGAGCUUUUGAAGGGCUCUGACUGUCUUGGGGUUGCCAAGUCCCUGACAGUUCCAUGAUAAGAUUUUCAUUGCUUCUGGCCAGCCUGUGGUCUCAGGCCUGCCAAUGAUUGUAUGUCCAUAUUGCUUCUGCUGUCUGUGUUGCUGUCAUAAGCCAAUUUCAAUCUUUUGACUUGGAGGUGUUCUUCUAUGUUGAUUUUCCCAGUUUAUUCUGUAUUCUGAUUGCUUUCACUGUUUUGCUGAAAUGUGG